CGGAGCUAACGCAUUAAGUGCCCCGCCUGGGGAGUACGGCCGCAAGGCUAAAACUCAAAAGAAUUGACGGGGGCUCGCACAAGCGGUGGAGCAUGUGGCUUAAUUCGAUGCAACGCGAAGAACCUUACCGGGGCUUGACAUGGUAGAAGUAGAAUCCUGAAAGGGUGACGAUCGGUAUCCAGUCCGAAGCUAUCACAGGUGUUGCAUGGCUGUCGUCAGCUCGUGUCGUGAGACGUUGGGUUAAGUCCCCUAACGAGCGAAACCCUUGUCUUUAGUUGCUAACGGGUAAUGCUGAGCACUUUAGAGAGACUGCCGUCGUUAAGACGGAGGAAGGUGGGGACGACGUCAAGUCAUCAUGGCCCUUAUGUCCCGGGCUGCACACGUGCUACAAUGGUCGGUACAAAGGGAUGCUAAGUCGCGAGAUGGUGCGAAACCUAUAAAGCCGAUCUCAGUUCAGAUUGGAGGCUGAAACUCGCCUCCAUGAAGUUGGAAUCGCUAGUAAUCGCGGAUCAGCUACGCCGCGGUGAAUAUGUUCCCGAGCCUUGUACACACCGCCCGUCAAGCCACCCAAGCAAGAUGCACCCAAAAUCGCCUGCCUAACCCGUAAGGGAGGGAAGUGCCUAAGGUGUGUUUUGUGAGGAGGACUAAGUCGUAACAAGGUAGUCGUAGGAGAACCUGCGGCUGGAUCACCUCCUUUCAG
rnacentral:rRNA from 1 species